UCGGGAAUAUUGCGCAAUGGAGGAAACUCUGACGCAGUGACGCCGCGUGCAGGAAGAAGGUUUUCGGAUUGUAAACUGCUUUAGACAGGGAAGAAAAAAUGACAGUACCUGUAGAAUAAGCUCCGGCUAACUACGUGCCAGCAGCCGCGGUAAUACGUAGGGAGCAAGCGUUAUCCGGAUUUAUUGGGUGUAAAGGGUGCGUAGACGGGAAGGCAAGUUGGUUGUGAAAUCCCUCGGCUUAACUGGGGGAACUGCAACCAAAACUAUCUUUCUUGAGUGCUGGAGAGGAAAGUGGAAUUCCUAGUGUAGCGGUGAAAUGCGUAGAUAUUAGGAGGAACACCGGUGGCGAAGGCGACUUUCUGGACAGUAACUGACGUUGAGGCACGAAAGUGUGGGGAGCAAACAGGAUUAGAUACCC
rnacentral:rRNA from 1 species